UACGGAGGGUGCUAGCGUUGUUCGGAAUCACUGGGCGUAAAGGGCGUGUAGGCGGUCUGUUAAGUCUGAUGUGAAAUCCCCUCGCUCAACGAGGGAACUGCGUCGGAUACUGGCAGACUCGAGUACCGGAGAGGAAGGUGGAAUUCCCGGUGUAGCGGUGAAAUGCGUAGAUAUCGUAAGGAAGACCAGUGGCGAAGGCGGGUCUCUGGACAGUUCCUGACGCUGAGGCACGAAGGCCAGGGGAGCAAACGGG
rnacentral:rRNA from 1 species